AUGAUCGGUGCUUGCACCGAGAUUCAACAUGGAACGAGUGGCGGACGGGUGAGUAACACGUGGGUAACCUGCCCUUAAGUGGGGGAUAACAUUUGGAAACAGAUGCUAAUACCGCAUAGAUCCAAGAACCGCAUGGUUCUUGGCUGAAAGAUGGCGUAAGCUAUCGCUUUUGGAUGGACCCGCGGCGUAUUAGCUAGUUGGUGAGGUAACGGCUCACCAAGGCGAUGAUACGUAGCCGAACUGAGAGGUUGAUCGGCCACAUUGGGACUGAGACACGGCCCAAACUCCUACGGGAGGCAGCAGUAGGGAAUCUUCCACAAUGGACGCAAGUCUGAUGGAGCAACGCCGCGUGAGUGAAGAAGGCUUUCGGGUCGUAAAACUCUGUUGUUGGAGAAGAAUGGUCGGCAGAGUAACUGUUGUCGGCGUGACGGUAUCCAACCAGAAAGCCACGGCUAACUACGUGCCAGCAGCCGCGGUAAUACGUAGGUGGCAAGCGUUAUCCGGAUUUAUUGGGCGUAAAGCGAGCGCAGGCGGUUUUUUAAGUCUGAUGUGAAAGCCCUCGGCUUAACCGAGGAAGCGCAUCGGAAACUGGGAAACUUGAGUGCAGAAGAGGACAGUGGAACUCCAUGUGUAGCGGUGAAAUGCGUAGAUAUAUGGAAGAACACCAGUGGCGAAGGCGGCUGUCUGGUCUGUAACUGACGCUGAGGCUCGAAAGCAUGGGUAGCGAACA
rnacentral:rRNA from 2 species